AGAGGAUAAAAGGAGGAUGCUGCACCACUUCACUGACAGCGGAUCAGGAUCAGGUAGGAGGAUGAGGAAGACUCUGCUGUGGCUGCUGGCCUCUCUGGCCUUCGUCUUCCUGACUUCUCGUGCUGAUGGAGCUCCAUUGAACGUUUGAUGUGGGUCUUCUGAAUGAACUUCGCACAUUCCUCAGUUAUCUGCACUGCAGGGAGUCUUUAGAUUUGGUUGUUGGCAAAACGUACCUUAUCAUGGGAUCAUCAGAUGAUAUUCACAGUGAUGAUGCACAUCAAACGUAUCAGUAUGUACUUGGAGAAAGAACCUGGAUCGAGUACUGGCCCAUAGAAGCUGAGUGUCAAGCUGAUGAACACAGACCUACCUGUUUGGGCAUGGAGGAGAUGGUUCAGCAUUACAACGUCUUUGGAUGUCAGCUGUAGUGAAACAUAAGAAAAUACAUUGUUUUUGGAACUGUUUUUACAUUAUUCCCAUCUUGUACAACUUUCACUGCUAUAAGAUGUAUUGACUUGCAAUGUUGUAGUGCAUUGAUUCAAAUACAAGUAUCUUAAUCUCA